rnacentral:lncRNA from 1 species
UCAAAGUUAAUCGAUGCUAAAGUAAACAGAAAAGAAGAGGAAAGAGAAAUUUUAGAAUCACCAAACAAACAAAAAAAGUGUGAAAAAGAAAAUAGCAAAAGAGAAGCGAAUCAACAAGGCGGGCUGAGGUUCACAGACUGUCAGGCUCAGCUCCGUGUGAAUCGUGUAGUCAAUCCUCUGUUGCUUUAGUGAAAUGUGAAGAAGAAUAAAAUAUCUCACAUCUUCUCCAUUUCUCCACAAUUCGGUAUUUUCUCUCUCCCUCCUUGUUUUCUUUUUAUUUUAUACAUCUCCUCUUCUUGCUGUCGCCAUUUUCGUUCUACAGAGGCCACGACGAGAAGUAUAUAGAUUUUUGCUGAAUGAGAAGCUUUGAAUACAUUGGAGUUUUGUUUGGCACUGCUUUGAAGUCCAAGCUCUGUUCAAUGUCUGAUUUGCACUCCGAUUCUACUUAAUUCUCUUUACUGUAAGCUACUUCCAGUUUAGUUCAAUGCAAAUCCUUUAGCAAACAGGUGGAAAUAGCAAUUCGACGUCUUAAUAAAAACAAAAUCAAUGUGGUUAAAACAAAGGUUGCUAUUGAUUCUACUUAAGGAUCUGAAUCUCUUAGCCUUUAUUAUAUGAUUGUAAAUUUGUAGACAACCUUAAUCUGCUGGUCCUGAACUUUUUCUUUUUUUCCUUUCGUUUCACCUUCUCUUAUUCAGCUUAUAUAAAACAUAAUAUGCCAUCUUGCUUCUCGUAUUCCUUUUUGUUUUUUCAUUUUAGUCCUAGUGUUUGCUGCUUAUUUUUUACAAUAAUCUGAAUCUCUUUCCAGUAGUAAUUGUUUUCAUUUUACCACUCUACCAGGAUGUAAACUUGAAAAACUCACACACUAGAGUGAAAAAGCAUGCAACCCAUUCACCAUCAAUUAUUCUCUGGAUUCUCAGUUUAUUGAUGAAGGACAUUGGCUGCUAGAGUUUAUACACACACACACACGCAAAUAUUUGCUCCUUCCCGGGCAUGCACCUUCUCUUAUGUCACCUUUCAUUCCCUCUUUAACUCUGUUUUAAGCCUCUAAUUUCUUAAAAUUGUUUGUAUCUUCCCGAAUUUAAACCGGCUCAAAUGAUGGAGCUGAGCAACUCUUAUUUUGAAUAUGUUUUAUCUCAUGUGUCUUCUUUGUCAUACACCGGUAACAUAUUUACUUCUGCCUUAACGUGGAAAGGUCUUCCAUUUCUAUCAAAUGUAUUAUUGGACUAAAAAGCAGCCAUGGUAAUUGCUUUUGAUGGUUCGUCAAGUUUAGAGUGUUUCUAACUCUUGAUCUUGCAUUUCUUAACAAUUGUUCCGCUUCCGCUGUUGAAAAGUUGUUUCCUCCCUAUAUUGGUAAAAGAAAUAAUUAUGAACUUCUUUAUAUGCAAGUACAAUAUAUGCUUGUUUGCAGUUUGUUCUAAGCCAUGCUCAGAGUGGAAGAGAAGUGGAAAUUGACAAUUCCAACUAAAGGGCAUUUAUUAGGAAGAUCUAUUACAUUAUAAAAUCUUCUCUACCAAAUGUACAAAUAAUGACAUUUUAAGUUAAUGGAAUUUGAGGAGUAAUUUGCCAAAAAUUAUCCAGGAACUUUUCAGAGAAAUAUGUUACCGAUUGCAGCCAAUUUAUCCAAUCCACUAGAAUUAUUAUCUUGGUUGUGGAGGAGCUGGGUUUGAGAGGAGACUUGAUGGUUCUAUUUGAGAUUUAAUGGGUGGUAGGACAGUGGACCUUUCUAUAGAGAAACGAUUUGAUCCUCCAAAGCUGUCCAGGGACUUCAAGUAUUCUGAUGCAUUGUUUUCUAUUAUCAAUGCAUCCUCAAGCUCUCUUAUGAUGUCCGCCAUGCAUGGUCGGUAAGUGGAGUAUGUCUCUGUGCAUGCCAAGGCCACCUCUACCACUCUCCACAGUGCCUCACCAUGAUACCCUCCCUUGAUAGCUGGAUCCACAAUUUCUUCAACUCUUGAGUUUCUUAUUAGAGGUUUCGCCUGUACAUCAAAGUGGAUACUUGCGUGUGAUUAAAUGUAAAUUUGCAAAGCAAUUAAGUAUAUAUAGGGCUAAGUAGUUAAGCAAUCAACAUAAGUUUAUCACCUGAGUAGCUCCAAAUUACCACUUCAAAAAUAAUAAUUAAAGAAUUAAAUAUUUAAGGUGCUCUUUGUGUGUUUAAAAGAAAAGUUGAGCUUCCCCACACGUGACAGGUGUAGUUGAGGCUAGGCUAUUCAUACAUUCGCAUUAGCUUUUCGGUCUUUUUCAUUGCACUGCAGUUUGCUGCAAUAUAAUUAAUAAGAAGAGACUUACGGUUCUGGUUCGUGAAUCUUCAGGUCACAUGAAGUUUCCUUGAUUGAGUGUGAACUGACUUUACUAUAAUUCCAAUUUUGUGCUUCAAUAGAGGGGAGUAUGGUUCUGACAGUAAGGUUGCUUCUACAUGAUUUGGAGGUCUUAUUAAAGCCUGAAAAUGUGAUUUCUGCUUUGGGGGUACAGGUUUUUGUUCCAACUCUUAGUUUAAGUCGGUUAUUGGAUUCACCAUUUUCCAUAUGGUGGUUGCUCUCUAUCUAGUGUCUAGGUGACCAUUUAGUUCAUUGGAAAAAAAUGUUAGAGAACUUUUUUCAUCUUGGCACUCAUGCUUUCAAUAGGAUUCAGUUAGUAGCAAGUUGUAUCUGGAGAAUCUAAAGAAAAGCUUGCUAAGUUGACUCUUACCCAUUCAACCAAGCUCCACUCAUUUCUUGGCCUGCUUAUGUUGAGAGGCUCUCGACCUGUUAAGAUUUCCAGUAGGACAACUCCAAAGCUGAAGACGUCACUUUUUGCUGAUAGAUGUUGGGUUGAGUAGUACCUAUGCAAAAGGAAUUCAUGAAGAGGUCAUGAGCUGGAUUUCCCAGAAGAUUUUUGAACCAUUUUGUGUUUUGGUGAAUUCAUAACAAAGGUGAAUUAUUCAACAGAUAUAUUGAUGAUAUCUUGGGUUCUUUGUUUAUGCAUUUAGUGAGAAUUCAGAACCUCCCAGUAGAUUCUCAUGGCGAUGAUUCAAAUAACGAUAAUCCAUAUUAAGGUGGCAGAACCAUGCAUUAGGCCCUGUCUUAGAAACAAACCUUUUGUUCUAAUUUCCUAAUGACAAUUCAACCUAGAAGAGUUUAUACUUACUCUGGGUCCAGGUACCCAGCUGUUCCCCUUACUUCUAAGGAUGUACCACUAUCCCCUUCUUGAGAUGCAUAUUUUGAAAAUCCAAAAUCAGCAACCUUGGCGCACAUGCUUUGAUCUAGAAGUAUGUUACUUGAUUUGACAUCCCUAUGGAUCAGACAGCGCUCCGAGAAAGUGUGAAGAUACAUCAAACCUGAAGAUGUUCAAACUUUCUUGUUUCAUUCAUUGCAAAAGGAGGGGGAUAUAACAUAUUGAAAAUGAAGAACUUUAGUAUUUUCUGUUACAAAUGUGCCUUGUGAUGAUAUGAUAAGUCACAGGGAAUGAUUGACUGUUAUGCUGUAUUAGAUUCAGGAUAUGCCCUGAAGCUAUUUCUCUGAGGUAAACAAGUUUUAUUUAUUUAUUUAUUUAAUGCAUGCUUAAGUACAAAGAUAUUGUUUAUUUCACAGAAGAGCUGUAUCAAUAGCAGAGCCUUGCGUACUUGCCUCUUGCUGCACCUAAAGCAAUGGAAAGUCUGGCUGGCCAGUCUAGAGUCUUCCUUUUUGCCGCUGCUCCUAAGCAAGAUGAGUGAAAAAGCAAGAAAUUAGUGCUGGUUCUUAUGUUGAAGAGGAAGUAGGAAUUUGUUUUUAUGUGAAGUACCAUAUAACCGAUCCUGUAGGGAGCCAUUUGACAUAAAGGGAUAAACCAGAAUUUGUUGGUCAUUCUCGCAGCAGUAGCCAAGAAGAGGGAUCAGGUUCUCAUGCGUAAUAGCUGAGAGAAGGGUCAGCUGUAAUACAAAUUGAUAGUACAAGGUUAGUUUGCAAGCUGUGUUAUUUGUUAUGCAUGGCUUAACUACAUAUACGUGGAUAAGAUGCACUUAUUGUAGAAGAUGGCUCCUGAAGAGUGCAAGACAAAUCAGGAGGAGGAAGUGAUAAAUCUAAAAAUCUGAUAAUUAUCAUUUAGUAGACAUGUGAGAACAUCAAGUUAAGGGCAUGGCUGCAAAAGCUUGAAAUAAUUGGUUAAAUUUUGCUUAAUAACACUGUUUCUUGUCCAGUACAUUAUUCAGAAUAUUUCAGAGGUUAGGAAUGUUUGCGGGGAGUAAUUAUGAAGAGAAUCAUGGGAUUUUGUGAGACAAAGUAUUAUUUUGAGCAUGUAGUUAGUUUGGUUUCCUAUGUGAACAGUAAUAGUAGAUAGAAGGUUGAUUGCUCCGACAUUGUGGUGAUGUUUUCUUCACAUUUUAGUCAGCAUCUAUUUUAUUGGUUUAAUGCAGAUGUCACAGUUAGGAGAAAAUUGGUCUAAAAAUGCUCUAGACUGAUACCUCAUUAUUGAAUUCUCGAGUUCCCUGAGUCGAAGUGGCUGACCGGACCUUUACAGCCACUUCUUCACCAUCAGUCAAGGUACCACGGUAAAC